rnacentral:rRNA from 1 species
AGAUAGAGUUUGAUCCUGGCUCAGUAGAAAUCUGAUCCUGCAUCAGGAUGACCGCUGGCGGCGUGGUUAACACAUGCAAGUCUUAUGAUGAUACCAGCGGACGGGGGGAUAAUGGGCGAACGUGUGAGUGACACGUGAGUAACAUGCCCUUGACUGUUGGAUAAGCCUGGGAAACUUGGUCUAAUACAAGAUAUGACUGUUUGACGCAUGUCAGGUCAGGAAAGCUUAGGUGGUUUUGGAUGGACUCGCGGCCAAUCAGUUUGCUGGUGGGGUAAUGGCCUACCAAGGGGACGACGGGUAGCCGGCCUGAGAGGGUGACCGGCCACACUGGGACUGAGACACGGCCCAGACUCCUACGGGAGGCAGCAGUGGGGAAUAUUGCACAAUGGGCGCAAGCCUGAUGCAGCGACGCCGCGUGAGGGAUGACGGCCUUCGGGUUGUAAACCUCUUUCAGUAGGGAAGAAGCAAAAUUGACGGUACCGGCAGAAGAAGCGCCGGCUAACUACGUGCCAGCAGCCGCGGUAAUACGUAGGGCGCAAGCGUUAUCCGGAAUUAUUGGGCGUAAAGAGCUCGUAGGCGGUUUGUCGAGUCUGCUGUGAAAGACCCGGGCUCAACCUCGGUUCUGCAUUGGGAACGGGCAGACUAGAGUGCAGUAGGGGAGAGUGGAAUUCCUGGUGUAGCGGUGAAAUGCGCAGAUAUCAGGAGGAACACCGGUGGCGAAGGCGAGCCAUCCUGGGCUGUUACGACGACGCGGAGCGAAAGCAGGAGUACCUU